GACGAACGCUGGCGGCGUGCUUAACACAUGCAAGUCGAACGGUAAGGCCCUUCGGGGUACACGAGUGGCGAACGGGUGAGUAGCACGUGGGUGAUCUGCCCUGCACUUCGGGAUAAGCCUGGGCAACUGGGUCUAAUACCGGAUAGGACCACUGCCUGCAUGGGGGGUGGUGGAAAGCUUUUGCGGUGUGGGAUGGGCCCGCGGCCUAUCAGCUUGAUGGUGGGGUGAUGGCCUACCAAGGCGACGACGGGUAGCCGGCCUGAGAGGGUGACCGGCCACACUGGGACUGAGAAACGGCCCAGACUCCUACGGGGGGCAGCGGUGGGGAAUAUUGCGCAAUGGGCGGAAGCCUGAUGGAGCGACGCCGCGUGAGGGAGGACGGCCUUCGGGUUGUAAACCUCUUUCAGCACCGACGAAGCGCAAGUGACGGUAGGUGCAGAAGAAGGACCGGCCAACUACGUGCCAGCCGCCGCCGUAA
rnacentral:rRNA from 1 species